rnacentral:pre_miRNA from 1 species
AAUGUAUGACGCCAUUGAUUUUUUAUCCAACGUUUGACCAUUCGUCUUAUUCAAAAAAUUUAUAUAAUUAUCAUUUAUUUUAUUAUGACUUAAUUCAUCAUCAAAUGUUCUUUAAGCAUGACAUAAAUAUUUUCAUAUUUGCAUAAAAAUUUUGAAUAAAACGAAUGGUUAAACGUUGUUUGAAAAGUCAACGGCGUCAUACAUU